rnacentral:lncRNA from 1 species
UGACUUUGUAUCUUGUGAUCUUACAAAAGUCACUUUAGUCAUAAGAAGGUUUUUUGGUAGAUUCUUUGAAUUUUGAUUUGUUUUUAUUUUUUGUUUUCACAUAGACAAUCAUGUUGUCUGUGAAUAGGAGUAACUGAAUUUCUUCCUUUCCAAUCUUAUGCAUUGUAUUUCUUUUUCUUGCCUUAUUGCCCAGUCUGGGACUUCCAGUAUGAUGUUGAACAGGCAUGGUAAGAGUGGACACCCUCACCUUGCUCCCAGUCUCAGGGGAAAGCAUUCAGUCUUUCACUAUUAAGUAUGAUAUGAGAUGCCAGUUUUUGUAGUCAUUUAACUUCUUAACCUCUCCCUUCCCAUCAGGAUAUAUGCUCCGUGAAAGCACGCUUUCUCUGCUCUCAAUUCAACACUCAGUGCCUGGCACAUGUGUAGCACACAAUAGGCCCUCAAUAAAUAAUCCUCUACUUUGGUACCUUAGCCGCCAUAACCACUGUCCUGUAUGACAGACAACAGAGGGACUUGGCCGAACGCGCACACACAUCACGAAGAAUAAUGUUACAGUAAAUAUCCCAAUGGAUCCAACCAGGCACUGGCCCCAUAGAGUUGACUAUUUUAAGCUGCCAAGCGUCUGUAGAUCAGCUUUCUAGCAAGCCAUUCUGUGUCAAAGCAUUUAUCUAUGAGGAAUAGAUGACUGCAGUAAAAUAAUUAUUUUAGAUGAAGAGCAUUCCAUUCCCAAAGGGAAUUUAAACAAAAAGCUCCCGGCUCUGAAAAACAGGGGCUUUCAGGGUAAAGAGGCCCACUGCUCUGAAAUCUUAGGCCCUCAGAUGGGUGGGGUUGUUUCGCUAAAUUUAUUUCAGCCGCUUAUAGAAACAGAAGGGGGAAGAGCAGGGCGGCUGCUUGCACACCAGCCCUGGCUCUGGAGUAUUAAUAUCUGCCGGGUCAGGCUUUUAUUUGGGUUUUGUUUUACCUUUUGGGGGCAGGGAGGCAGGCAGGCAGCAGGAAUCUCUCACAGCUGCACAGCUUCUGAGCUGUGGUUUCCCACCUUUCCUCCUGUACCUUCCCCGGCAGGCCAAACUCAGCCCAGUCCUCCCAUGCCUCACCUUGGGACAGCCCCUUACCCACUGAACACCACGCACUGUGCCAGGCCUUUCUCUGCAGUCUCACCACAGCACCUUUGACACCAGCUUUUCUCCCAUUUCCAGAAGGGUCUGAGCACGCUGAGAGACUAAAUCUGUUUGCUUUCUUUCCGGCACAAGUGGGUACAGAGAGACUGGGGCCUUUGUCCCUGGCCCCCAUCAGAGCCGCCUACCCAAUCCCACACCCCCAGCCCCAGAGGCUCCACUACUUGAAUUUGGGGGGUUGUUGGAUGUGAAAUCCAGGCCUUUUUGUCCCUGUCUUCCUUCUCCUCAGCCUCCCCAAAGCAGCGCACAGGCAUUCUUCUUAGGCCUGAGACCUCGACCGUCUCUUCUGUCAAACACACCCCCCCUUACACAGGAAAAGGAGUUAAGUGAAACCACCAUGUUGCUUUUUAAAAACCUGUUCUUGUGCUGAAUUUGGAAUGCUUUAUGGGGCACCGGUUAAUUAUCUCCCACAGAUAUGGGGGAAACCGAGGCACCGGAGGGGAGGCGGCAGCAAGUGACCUGCGCCCCCUGCAGGUAGAUGAGAUCAGUGCUACCGGCUGGCUCUCCAGGUUCCCGCUGAACCCGAAAGAAACGGAGAAAGACAGGGCUGAGUCUGGGAGCUUGCUGCAACAUGGCUGCCGCCACAUGAGGGCAGAAAGAGGAGACGCACAAGGAAGCUGAAAAAUCUGCUGGGCUUAAAGACUUGAGUAAUUCCACGCGAAUAUGGGGAAGUACCUCACACAGUGCCCAGCCCAUGGGAACCCAACAAAUGUCAAGCUGGUUCCUUGGCAAACUCCUGCUUCCUGGGUCACCAAGGAAGAUGGGAGAAGGAGCAUCUGUCCUCUCCAUCCCCAGCCCCAAGCACCAGCCAGUUUGCUUUGGAAUUAUCCUCCAGCUCUCUCUUGCAAAACCCAGCCCAGAGUGGGCAGACCCCAUCUCAGGGAGCUGUUCCUUUGAGAAGCAGGACCCACCUCCUCAGCCAGAGCAGAGGUUAGAAAGCUCUUGGAGAGUCGCCACACAGGCAGCCAGCCGGCGGAGGAGAGAGGAUGGAUCUCUGCCACAGCCCUGUGACUGCUUCAGAGCUGAGCUUCUCUCGCCAACUGCACCCUCUGCCCCAAGGGACAGCGGGCCCCCAAACCAGGGCCUGCCCUUGUCUGACCAAAGGCAACCAGAUCUGCUGCAGCUGUUCAGUGCGAGAACAAGCUCUCCCAGAGACCAGGGAAGCAGCUGGAGAAAGAUUCCUGCCAGCCCUGGGGUGUAAAUAUUUAUACAACGUGGUGCGUGGGAAGAGGGAAGGCAGAGGGAGGUGGUAGGGACGAGGCCGCACUGAGGAAGCAGACUGAAGGAGCCUGAGCUUUGGGCUCAGGUGGGAAGCCAAGAGGCUGGUGGGACCCUAAUCUCCACCUGAAUUCCUGCAUCAAAGAGGCCCAGUCCUUGCCCCUGCUCUCCUGCCAGAGUCGAGGGGAGAACGUAGACAAAACCUCCUCCCUGGUGAAUCCCCUAACCACUCCUCUUGUCUAGAAUAGCCCUCUAUGUCAGAAGGGAGGCUCUGCGUUGAACCAGAGAUAGACCAAGUCCACACGGCCCAGGAGUUAAGGGCCUGGGGGCUCCUGGGGCUUAUGGUUCGAGGGUCUUAAAGGAUGCUGGACCCCAACAGUUGGCCUCCAGGGCUGAUGGCUUAGAAGACAUAGGCAAAUUAUAAAAUAUAAGCAGAGAUUUCUCUCUAGCUUCUAUAGAAUCAAUAGUACUUUUCUAAAGUGGCAGAGAACAUUGUGCGUUGAUGAAGAUGAUGAGGAGGAAUGGAGGGGACCUGGCAAGAGAGCAAGGUGUGGAGAAGGCGAGGGGGCCCUUGAUGGCACUCCAAGAGAAGACGUGGUCACCAUCACCACAGGGCCUAGGAAAGGACGGUGCAACUCAAUGGGCGUCCAGCUGAUGCUCUUGGGCCCGCCCCCUGCAGCGCAGCUCUAGGUGUGCCCCAAGCAGAGUACUGGGUGGGCCUGCGGGACUCAACUAGCGCCCAACAGCAUUGACACCCGGGGAUGGGAAGCAAGCCUUGUGGGGGUGGGGGGGUCCCUACAGCCAGAUGGACUUCAGUCGAUCUGCCUCAGACAGCUGGGGAGCAGAGCCGGACCGCCUCACACCCCUCCCCCACCACUCCAGACAAGGAGGGGUGCGGCUGCAACUUCUAGGUUUUCUCUGCCACCGCGCCCAUCGAGAAGUGCCACCUGCUCCUAUCAGUACCAGAGCUGACCCUCAGGGCCUCCCACAGGUGGGGUUUGUGUUGCUCCCCAGUAGCCAAGAGCUUUUAAGACAGCUCGCAAUUAUCAGCCUCUUGUAUUCUCCGUGUGCCCUCAAAACACCCACCUGCCAGGGGUGGGGGGCAUUGGGAAGGAAGGACUUUCCCCUGGAAAACUGCCUCUGUCUCCCCAGCAGACAGUUCCAGAUGUCCAGGCCGACUUCUGCCAGAGAGUGAGGACCAAAGGAUACCCAGACUCCUCCAAGAGGCAGACCCUAUGCUGUUGUCCUCCCACCCACAGCACAGAGUUUGCAGGUGACACAUUCCCAGUGGGUGCACCUCCCUGAGCUCCAGCCUUUCUGGGUGGAAGCUGGUGAAUCCCCCACACCCAUCCACCCAGAGAAGGAUGGAUUCCAUUGCCUCCCUGAGCAAUGGGGCCCAGGCCCACACACCAUGGAGGAAACACCAUCUGCCCCCAACCCUCAGCCCAGGCCUGGCAGACAACAUCAACCCUCACAGGGGGAGAGCCUCACUGCCCCCAGCCCCCUCUCCAGAAAGAAGCUCCUCUUCCAAGGACACUGGGGGCUGGGGGAGGACCUUCAGACACCCAGGUCCUCUUCUGCCACUGUGCCUCUGCCUGCCGGCUGUGGCCUCCUUCUUGCCAGCACUGCUUAAACAAAUGAACAAGAAUAAAAGCCUGUGUGGCCCAAGGAAAGCUUGAGGGGAAAGAACUGAAGCUGAAGGAAAAGGAAAAAAAAGAAAAACCUAACUAUAAGAAAUAGGAAGGAGGGAAAUUCAGGAAACAGACAAAAUAAACCAUCCAGGAAUCCAGAUGUAAAACAAAGAAGGCCAAAAGAAAAGAAAAAUUAUGCUAAGGAGGCAGACUGGGGUGGGGAGGGGAAUUGGGAAUAAAAAAGAAGAGGGAGACAGUUAUAAAUAUUCUGAAAAGAGAGAAGAAUGUGAAAGCAAACGACACCAGAAAAAAUAAAAAAUAAAGAGAGACCCAGGAGAGAAAAGGAGGCAACAAUGAAUUUAAAACAACUCUGUUGACCCUCAACCAGCCACACUCAGUUAUGCUCUGAGUCUUAUUGCUUUUUGUAGAUUUCAGAACACUGAGCCAGCACAGUUGUAGAAAAGCAAGCUUUCCUUCUUGCCCUUCUUUUCCCUACAGUUCUCCCAAUUCACCUCCACUGUUGGUCUUUUGCAGAGUGAGGGCUGAUCUUCCUGGGACAAGGCUGGAAACCAUUCCAGUUCACCCCUGAGUCUGGUGGCUUCCAACAUGGUGCCCUCUGGAGGGCUCACUGGAGAAUCUGAGCCAGAGGAGCCCUGUGGCAGGAGAAGCUUUGGGUGUGAUGGAACUGUGUUAUCAGCUUUGCAUCUUCCAGGGUGAGGCUUACCUAGCCACCUUUCUGUGGACCAGGGCUAACCCAACCCACAGACACACCACUCCUGGAACAGCAAGGGUUCGUGGAAGAUUGGCAUACCCAACUCUAUGCAAAGCCAGAGGGGUCCCAGCAAAUGCAACUUUCAGAAACAGAUGAUUUAAAUUAAUUUCCAGGCAUUCCCAAGGGAAGCUAAAGAUAGCCACAGCUUUCCCAUUGCCACGGUUGGCAAACAGCUUCUUGAAGUUCACCUUCAAUGUUUUUGUGUCCAUAAACCCCAUGAGCACUUACAGAAGAUGCUGGUUCCACUCCUUCUGUCUUCUUGGCCUCUUUUCAGCCUUCUAUGGACUCUUUCUUCUGAGAGUCUGCCAAUGCCUCUCUUCUCUGUGUCUGCUUUGGUUUUUCCAUUUCCCUUACUUAAUCAUACCCACCUCUGCCCACUCUUUCUUCUAUUUCUCUAGGGCAGCAAGAGUUGCAAGAAAGUGAAGCAAACCAAGGCAAAAUUGAGAAGCAACAGAAGUAAAAAUGCAAGUGUGUUUGCCUUAGCGCUUGGCUUUGGCGUGCCCCGGCUGUCUGCAGUAGGUGAGGCUGGCUCCCAGGGGACAGGGGUCUGAGCCUCACCAGGCCGCCUAAAACUGCUCCUCCAAAGUUCAGCCAAGGGGAAGCCACACAGGCUGAACUCUGAUCAACUGGGACAAAGAAAAUGGUGCCCAUACCAGCCCUUCUCCUUCUGAGAAUUCUUUUUCUUUUUUUGAGGAAGAUUAGUCCUGAGCUAACUACUGCCAGUCCUCCUAUUUUUUACUGAGGAAGCCUGGCCCUGAGCUAACAUUGUGCCCAUCUUCCUCUACUUUAUACGUGGGACGCCUACCACAGCAUGGCGUGCCAAGCGGUGCCAUGUCCACACCCAGGAUCCGAACGGGCGAACCCCAAGCCGCUGAGAAGCGGAACGUAUGAACUUAACCACUGCGCCACUGGGCCAGCCCCCUACUUCUGAGAAUUCUUAAGUACUUGACCCUGAUUCUGUACAUUCCAAAAGUCAUAUUUUUCUUCUAGCAAAAACUGAGAGAUGUGACAAAAUGUAUAGAAGGGAUAAUGUCUAGGUUGUGGCCUUAGAUACUCAACCCAGUUUCUUCUCAUCCUUCUUAACCUUCAAACCUGUCACAGUCGUAUAAUCUAUGACUCAAAACUAUUAUUUAACUAUGAAAAAAGACAAACCAGGAAAUUAGAGGCUGAAUGACCUAAAAUUUAUUCCAUUCAACUGAGCUAAUCCCCUAAUAAGGGUGUGUAUAACAAUCAGUCUUGCUACAGCUCUUCUGGAAGAUGUGAACGUUGCGGGGAACAUACACAGUGCCUGCAGAUCCCAACUUGUCAAGAUUUGUCCUCAAAAGGGUAAGUGCCUGGUCCUAGGCCAAGCUGCCUAGCAGUUUGUUAGAUGAGUCUUAACAUUUGGGAACCAACAUGUUGCAAUGGAGAGUGCCUGAUGCUCAGGCUGACCACAUUGAUAUCUGGCACUGCCACUUCCUAGGCAAGCAAGGGACUUACCUGCCCUCCCCUAGUCUCCUCUGCUGUGAAAUGGCAAUGACAGCGAUACCCAUCUCCUGGGGCUGCCGCGAGGACAGAUGAGCAAAGCGCUUGGCACGUGUGAGCAUCCCUAGUCAACUGUUGCUGUAUGUUAAGCUGCGAAUUGGCAAGACCGAGAAGAAGGCUGGAGGCCCCACAAAGUGGGGUUCCACGGAGUCACUGGAACACAGUCAAGUAUCCUGAGCAAGAGAGAGAAGAGGGUCCCAGAGGAGGCCCAGGCAGCUGGCGGGUGGAGCGCUGCUCCGACAGCCAAGGACAGCCAGUCACAGCCGGGUGUCCUCCGGGGUGGGAGGACGCAGGGGGCUGCACUGCAGUCCUCCCGCAUUAGCUCAACGCCGCUGCAUCCCCACCCUUGCAUGUGUUCAUCCUGACAUGAAACCCAGCACGCAGUGACCUCACCCCCACUAUGUGCAGCCGCUGGCCAAGCAGAGAGCUGUACCAGAGUGAGCUUCAGAAGUGCUCAUUGGCCUCAGAGAUUUCAUAACUGGGCGUUUCUGCCCAAAUGCAGAAAUCUGUCUUUGAACUAGAGUUUAAGGAUGUGACCAAAUGCUGAGAAAUUCUUAUUUCAGGGCUGAUUUUUUUUUCUGUAAGUAGAAAGGCAAAGAGUUCAAAAUAUAUUCUGGAAAUGUGAACAGCAACUGAAUCUUGGUAAUAUUUAGGGAGUAUUAUUAAUUUUUAGGUGAAAUAAGGACAGUGUGGCUAAGUUGAAUGAGUCCAUUUUUUUUAGAGCUACAUACUGAAAUACCAACAGAUGAAAUGAUAUGAUCCAAUAUAUAGGAUUUACUUCAAAAUUAUAUGGGAGGUGGGGAGGCAGCUGGUGCUGUAAAUGAACAAGCUUGGCCAGGAGUUGGUGAUGUUGGUGAUGGGAGUUCCUCAUACUCUCUGUCUUCUUCUGUACACGCUUGAUGUUUUCCAUAAAAAAAUGUUUUAAGUUCAUAAAAGCUGAAAAAAAUUUAACUCAGGGAUUCUUGUUUUACUGGUUCUUGCAACAUGAUAUUUACUUCCGAAGGACAUGUGCUCUUGGACAAGAGAUGAGCUUGUAGGGGGAUGUGCCCAGAGCCGCGGAGGACUGGCAAAGAGACAGGGAGACCACCACCCCGGGGUCAGG